CGAAUAAAAUUCUGGAUAGAAUUAUGAUAAUGACAUUACCUAUCCAUAAGUCUUGACCAAWUUWCCUSCCWGCAAUCGCGGUAAUACGUAAAAGACAAGWGUUAUUCMUCUUUAAUAGGUUUAAAGGGUACUUAGACGGUAAAUAAAGCCUCCAAAAGGGACUAGUUUGCUAGAGUUUUAUGUGAAGGAGUUUUAAAGUACUACUGGUGUAGAGAUGAAAUUCAGUUAUACCUUACAUGGCACAGGUUAAGGCGAAAGCAUCUUCUUAUGUAAAAACUGACGUUGAAGGACGAAGGCUUUGUGUCUCGAACAGGAUUAGAUACCCUAGUAGUCUAAGCAGAAAAUGAUGAAUGUCAUAGAUUAGAUUUAUUUUGAUCUGUAAAUGAAAGUGUAAGCAUUCCACCUCAAGAGUAAUUUGGCAACAUUGGAACUGAAAUCAUUAGACCGUUUCUGAAACCAGUAGUGAAGUAUGUUGUUUAAUUUGAUAAUCCGCAAAAAACCUUACCACAAUUUGAAUAGAUAUAUUUUAUCAUACAAGCGUUGCACGGCUGUCUUCAGUUAAUGUCGUGAGACUUUGGUUAGUUCCAUUAAAUUAACGUAAACCCUUACUUUAUUUUUAUAUAAAGUAGUUCACCGCUAUAUUGGAUGUGAUAAUAGGGAUCAAGACAAGUCAUCAUGACCUAAAUAUUGUGGGCUAUAGACG
rnacentral:rRNA from 1 species